AGAGGCCUUCAUUGAUGUUACCAGUGGUUUGAACAGCUCAUAAGAGGAGAAGAGAGAGAGUCACAUUGUAGUGUAUAGGAUGAGUAACCUCUAACACAUUGACUUGUAAUUUGUAAAGCAGUCCCUCCAGUUUUGAAUUAAGAGGACUGGACUGUUUCAUUUCCAUCCAUUGUAAAAUUAUUCUAUACAUUUUUCUGCAAGAACGUUGAGAGUAAUAUCUCUCCAUAUAUACAAAGGUUCAAACAGAAUCUCUUGGUUUCCCUUUUUUCCUGUUGAUUUUGUUUCCCCUGGUUUCCACAUAAAAUUUGAGUAACCCGAAAAGCUCAGAAGUUUAGGCAUGGAUUGAUGGAUUAACUAGUAUGCAUGUGCCUAUAUCAUAACUAUUUGGGCAUAAUGUGAUUCAUUUUUCACUCAAUUCAACUAAAAUCAAAAUAUUCAAUCCAGGAUUUUCUUUUCAAUCACUAUAAGCUGGUGAAUUAACCAGAUAUGGAGUGACUACAAGGACCUUGGAAUUUUUGGAAUUAUGUUGAGAAUUGUCUCUAGAAUUUGGGAUAUUAGUGAAUUGUUAGACCUUAGAAAUUCCGGCUUAAAAGCAAAAAUCUUUUGGGAAGUCCUGUCUCAAACAUUGGAUCAGAGACAUACUUCUGAAAUUGAAGAAAAGAAAUCACUAAUUUAUGACUCCUUCUCAUCUCUUAACUGAACCCUGCAUUGAAGCACUUUGGAAGUCAUUUGAAGCAAUUCAGCUGAAGGAAGUUAUAGUAUUGAUGGACCUAUGUAUAGUCUAUAGAUCAAAACUUGAAUCCUUCUCCUGAUGAGGAAACAUGAAUAUUUUUGUCCCCUGAGGCUAAACCUUGUGCCAUAAAAAUACUAAGAAAAAAAUUUCUACAAAUUUUGGAGUAUAUGUUGGAAACUAAUUCAGUGUGCCCAUUUAUGAAUAAUGCAUGCUUUGUUUUUAGACUUAGGGAGUUCUUGAACUACAUAUUUUCAAGGUCCAUAGUCUUGCUUUUGAGUUCUUUAUAUAAAGCAUCAUAGAACAGUAUCAUGUGAUAUGUUGGUUAGGUCUUGCUUCUGUUCAAAUUUUUGUCUCUGCGUAUUUGAUGCUGAAGCUCGGAUAGUCACUGGUUCCUCACUUGUGUAGAACAAAAGACAUCAUCACAUGAGAAUAUGGCUUGUUUGUUUCAGUAUAUCCAAAUGAUCAGUUGCAUAUAUGUUAUAACAGUAGGAUGCGAUACAAAGAUAAUAAUUUCAAGUGGUCCUCAGCUGUCUGUUCUAUCAACUGGUAGGCCAUGAUGAAGCAAUGGAUAUAUGACAGUAUGAAAGAUAUGGAAAUCUUAUAAUUGAUUGGGAGGCAAAACCAUGUGAUCCCCUGUCACAUAUCUCCUUCAAGGGACCCCAUUGUAGUAAUCCCUUCUCCAUUCAUUCCAUCUGAGAAUACUGGCCCUAUAGAAUUUGUUCUAUAAAUAUACCUAUUCUAAGGGCAUACAUCCACCAAGUCUCAAAGCUUUUCUUGUUUUCCAAACUCUUAGAAAUCCAUUUCCCACUAUCAAUUUUCUGAGUAACUAAAUUUGAAACUCAUGGCCAUCCGAUUUCAGAGGAUUAUCCCUGCAAAGCAGAUCCUGAGGCGCAUUCUUCCAUCUCCAGAGUCUACAAAUGUGCCUAAAGGUCAUGUUCCUGUCUAUGUUGGGGAAGCUCAAAAGAAGAGAUUUGUGAUUCCAAUUUCAUACUUGAAGCAUCCUUCAUUCCAGAACUUGCUAAGUCAGGCUGAGGAAGAGUUCGGGUUUGAUCAUCCACUGGGUGGUCUCACAAUCCCAUGCAGAGAAGAAGCCUUCAUUGAUCUAACUUGCAGUUUGAAUUGCUCAUAAGCAAGGAGGAUAAUCUCAAAACCACCAGCCUGAAGGACUCUGAAUCUCUAACACCACUGACCCCAAAAACCAAUCCCAUCAAUUUUGCUUCAUUGAGAAAUAGGCCUUUUUUGUAAUGAGAACGAUGUAAAUUUCUUGUACUUUUCUGUAAAGCAAGUUUACAGUCAAAUGUCUUCAUAUUAAUUGAAUAGCUCUACUUUUUCCUUAUCUUCUUUUGUCCUCCAGCAGCCAUUCUGUACAAGUUAGUCCAUUAAUUUGCAGAUUCAUUUACAAUACAAAUACUAGAAAUCCAAUGGCCCAAUAUUUAAGUACUUGGGAUUUGACAAUAUAGAUACUCUCUCAUUCUGGUUUCAUUAUUAUGAAUGUCCACUACCUGAAUCAGCACUCAACCCUAAUAAGAAAAAAAAGGCUUAUUAAAUAGGAAGAGGAAGAGAAAAUAAGCAGCAUAAACCGAAAAUAACCCCAUUUCACUGGGUCAAGAUCGCUAUGUGUUAGGUGUUCCCUUCCAUAACAGCUAAUCGCUAUGUGUUAGGUGUUCCCUUCCAUAACAGCUAAAAUGCCAUCGUUUUAACUGAAAAUAUCAAAAACCAUGAAAUCCCAAAUGAAUUUAGAAUCAAAAUCCUUCAAUAAUUUUUUGACUACUAAGUUAAUUUACAUUUACUUCAUGUUUGAUUCUAUUGUUAAACACUUUGACAAGGACAUUUAUAUUAUAUGAUUCCUUCUAUGGCAAUUAUUUCAAGCAACAUUAUCACAUGAGCUGAUAAUUCGUGUUCCCUUUUAGUGUAUGCUAGUUUCAUGGACUAUGUAUUGCUAGUAGUUUGUGUUUAUAAGAACUCCAACAAGCUUCAGACAUGUACCACAGGUAUGCUAUGGUUAGUGGAAUGAAUAUAGUCCCUACCAGUUGGUGGUCCAAGUCCACAACCAUUCCCAGCAAAUAAAUUUCUGUAUGAACACCACCCAAAUCUUAUUAUUAUUUGGGAGGCAAAUCCAUGUGAUCCCUUGUGAUGAAUGGACCCUAUCAGAGACUUCUCUUUGCCACCAAUUCCAUUGGGAAUACUGGCCAUACAGAACUUGCUUGCUCUAUAUAUAUUCUACUCAUCCUGAGGAUAUGGCAUCCCACAGCCAAAGUUUUCUUGUUCUAACAGAUCUUAGAGUACCAUUUUCCUUACCAUUACUUUUCUGAAUCCAUAGAAGUCAUGGGUUUUGGUUUGCCUGGGAUGUUUGCUGCUAAGCAGGGUGCAGAAUCCAAAAAUGUGCCAAAAGGCUAUUUUGCUGUUUAUGUGGGAGAAGCCCAGAAGAAGAGGUUUGUGGUUCCAAUCUCAUACUUGAAGAACCCUUCAUUCCAGAACUUGUUGAGUCAGGCUGAAGAAGAGUUCGGGUUCAAUCAUCCAAUGGGAGCUCUCACAAUCCCAUGCACAGAAGAGGCCUUCAUUGAUGUUACCAGUGGUUUGAACAGCUCAUAAGAGGAGAAGAGAGAGAUUCACAUUGUAGUGUAUAGGAUGAGUAACCUCUAACACAUUGACUUGUAAUUUGUAAAGCAGUCCCUCCAGUUUUGAAUUAAGGGGACUGGACUGUUUCAUUUCCACCCAUUGUAAAAUUAUUCUAUACAUUUUUCUGAGAGAAAUUUGAGAGUAAUAUCUCUCCAUACAAAAGUUCAAAAAGAAUCUCUUGGUUUUCUGUUUUUUUUUUUUCCUGUUGAUUUUAUU
rnacentral:lncRNA from 1 species